GCACCAUUUCCUGUUAAUGUAGGAAAGUUCUCUUUAGUUCUUCUGAUUUACCGGCAAAUAUUUUUGACCCCUGCUACAAGUCAGACCCAGGUUUUGGGCCUGGGGUCACAGUGAUAAACAAGACGAUGCAGCCUAAUUCUCCCCGGGUGCUAAGGAUUUGGGCUCUUGCUUCUUUCUCAGAGCAUCUCCUGCGAGUGAGCUGUCACUGAGAUGUUUGCAUCCUGCCUCCAUCCAGCAGGGUAGGGAGUGGACCCUUCACAGAAGCACACUGGGCAUGGAGGCACCUUGUGCCAAACCAGCCUCCAGGCCAUCUUCCAGAUGGGCUUUGUUGGGGCCCCCAGGGACCAGCAGCAACCUGCCUGUGAUUGACUAUUAGAAAACAAGACUGGCACCUAAAGGUCUGCCCAGGACCUGAGAUCAAGUGGCCCCAGUCUGUUUCAUCAUUGCUCUGCUUACAAAGGUGGGUUCCUACCAGCCGCUUUCAAGAACUCUCCCAGCACUGCGUCCACAGCUGCGCGGUGAGUUUCCUGUGCACUUGUAGCAGCU